rnacentral:rRNA from 1 species
CACACGACUCUCGGCAACGGAUAUCUCGGCUCUCGCAUCGAUGAAGAACGUAGCAAAAUGCGAUACCUGGUGUGAAUUGCAGAAUCCCGCGAACCAUCGAGUUUUUGAACGCAAGUUGCGCCCGAGGCCUUCCGGCCGAGGGCACGUCUGCCUGGGCGUCACGCCAA